rfam:Triticum urartu cultivar G1812 contig454599, whole genome shotgun sequence.
AUCAUAUUCCCUCCGUUCGGAAUUACUUGUCUCGAAAAUGGAUGUAUCUAGAACUAAAAUAUGUCUAGAUACAUCCAUUUCUGUGACAAGUAAUUCCGAACAGAGGGAAUAGCUU